rnacentral:rRNA from 1 species
UACGGGAGGCAGCAGUGGGGAAUAUUGCACAAUGGGCGCAAGCCUGAUGCAGCCAUGCCGCGUGUAUGAAGAAGGCCUUCGGGUUGUAAAGUACUUUCAGUCGUGAGGAAGGUGUUAAGGUUAAUAACCUUAGCAAUUGACGUUAGCGACAGAAGAAGCACCGGCUAACUCCGUGCCAGCAGCCGCGGUAAUACGGAGGGUGCGAGCGUUAAUCGGAAUUACUGGGCGUAAAGGGCACGCAGGCGGUUAAUUAAGUUGGAUGUGAAAUCCCCGGGCUUAACCUGGGAAUGGCAUUCAAGACUGGUUAGCUAGAGUCUUGUAGAGGGGGUAGAAUUCCAUGUGUAGCGGUGAAAUGUGUAGAGAUGUGGAGGAAUACCGGUGGCGAAGGCGGCCCCUGGGACAAAGGACUGACGCUCAUGUGCGAAAGCGUGGGGAGCAAACG